GAGUGUAUAGCUCAGUGGUAGAGCACAUGCUUAGCACACACGAGGUCCUGGGUUCAAUCCCCAGUAACUCC
rnacentral:tRNA from 1 species